AUCCUUUGGUUCACAAGCCUGAUGACUGGGAGUUCAUGCCUUAUGCAUGAAAUGUGCCUCCCUCAAACCUUGUUACAAUGUGGGCACAUCACCUGUCUGACA